rnacentral:rRNA from 1 species
UACAGAGGUCUCAAGCGUUGUUCGGAUUCAUUGGGCGUAAAGGGCGCGUAGGCGGUCAGCACAAUCCAGUUGUGAAAUCUCCGGGCUCAACUCGGAACGGCCAAGUGAAACUGUCAUGCUAGAGUGCAGAAGGGGCAAUCGGAAUUCUUGGUGUAGCGGUGAAAUGCGUAGAUAUCAAGAGGAACACCAGAGGUGAAGACGGGUUGCUGGGCUGACACUGACGCUGAGGCGCGAAAGCCAGGGGAGCAAACGGG